CAAAUGACUUGCCAAGGCUCCAGGGCAGCGCUGUCCAAUAGACACCUGAUGAGAGCCACGUGUGUCGUUUCUUAUUUGACUCAGUGGCAGAGAUCCUUCAAUCCAGACUUGAAGAAAACCCUUGAGUUAAGCCGUUAGACAUCUAUGCAACUCAUAACUUCCAUCAUUCCAACUUGCAGUGCCUCCAUGAUCACUAUGGAAGAAAAACUAAAGGCAACACACUGCCUUUAUAUGUGCCUUGAAACCACCGCCAGUUCAAAGGUUACUUUUUUCCAACUGUCAGAAUUUAUAACCAACUCACCUUGCAGCCGUUGAAGGAAAGAAGGCUUGAAUAUUUUUGCCAUAAAGUUGACUGGAUGGCAUUCAUUAAGUGAACAUGAAUGAAGAAGUUUCAAUAAUGUUUCGGGUGGAAAAUAAUUGAAAUGAGUGAAUAGCACGUUUUCCAGCUUUCUAAAUAAAGCAGAGGAAUUUGGUGGCAAAUAA